GACGAACGCUGGCGGCGUGCUUAACACAUGCAAGUCGAACGGAAAGGCCCUGCUUUUGUGGGGUGCUCGAGUGGCGAACGGGUGAGUAACACGUGAGUAACCUGCCCUUGACUUUGGGAUAACUUCAGGAAACUGGGGCUAAUACCGGAUAGGAGCUCCUGCUGCAUGGUGGGGGUUGGAAAGUUUCGGCGGUUGGGGAUGGACUCGCGGCUUAUCAGCUUGUUGGUGGGGUAGUGGCUUACCAAGGCUUUGACGGGUAGCCGGCAUGAGAGGGUGACCGGCGACAUUGGGACUGAGAGACGGCCCAGAGUCCUACGGGAGGCAGCAGGGGGGAAUAUUGCACAAUGGGCGGAAGCCUGAUGCAGAAACGCCGCGUGCGGGAUGACGGCCUGCGGGUUGUAAACCGCUGUCGCCUGUGACGAAGCGUGAGUGACGGUAAUGGGUAAAGAAGCACCGGCUAACUACGUG
rnacentral:rRNA from 1 species